CAGGUCCUGUCCGGAGAGACCGCGAUUGCGCGGCGCCGAAGGCGCAACCCGCCCGGAAACGCUCAGGCAGAAGGACGGCAGGCACAC
rnacentral:ncRNA from 2 species